rnacentral:rRNA from 1 species
AAGUGAGAAUGCCGGUGUGAGUAGCGAAAGACGGGUGAGAAUCCCGUCCACCGAUUGACUAAGGUUUCCAGAGGAAGGCUCGUCCGCUCUGGGUUAGUCGGGUCCUAAGCUGAGGCCGACAGGCGUAGGCGAUGGAUAACAGGUUGAUAUUCCUGUACCACCUAUAAUCGUUUUAAUCGAUGGGGGGACGCAGUAGGAUAGGCGAAGCGUGCGAUUGGAUUGCACGUCUAAGCAGUAAGGCUGAGUAUUAGGCAAAUCCGGUACUCGUUAAGGCUGAGCUGUGAUGGGGAGAAGACAUUGUGUCUUCGAGUCGUUGAUUUCACACUGCCGAGAAAAGCCUCUAGAUAGAAAAUAGGUGCCCGUACCGCAAACCGACACAGGUAGUCAAGAUGAGAAUUCUAAGGUGAGCGAGCGAACUCUCGUUAAGGAACUCGGCAAAAUGACCCCGUAACUUCGGGAGAAGGGGUGCUCUUUAGGGUUAACGCCCAGAAGAGCCGCAGUGAAUAGGCCCAAGCGACUGUUUAUCAAAAACACAGGUCUCUGCUAAACCGUAAGGUGAUGUAUAGGGGCUGACGCCUGCCCGGUGCUGGAAGGUUAAGAGGAGUGGUUAGCUUCUGCGAAGCUACGAAUCGAAGCCCCAGUAAACGGCGGCCGUAACUAUAACGGUCCUAAGGUAGCGAAAUUCCUUGUCGGGUAAGUUCCGACCCGCACGAAAGGCGUAACGAUUUGGGCACUGUCUCAACGAGAGACUCGGUGAAAUCAUAGUACCUGUGAAGAUGCAGGUUACCCGCGACAGGACGGAAAGACCCCGUGGAGCUUUACUGUAGCCUGAUAUUGAAAUUCGGCACAGCUUGUACAGGAUAGGUAGGAGCCUUUGAAACGUGAGCGCUAGCUUACGUGGAGGCGCUGGUGGGAUACUACCCUAGCUGUGUUGGCUUUCUAACCCGCACCACUUAUCGUGGUGGGAGACAGUGUCAGGCGGGCAGUUUGACUGGGGCGGUCGCCUCCUAAAAGGUAACGGAGGCGCUCAAAGGUUCCCUCAGAAUGGUUGGAAAUCAUUCAUAGAGUGUAAAGGCAUAAGGGAGCUUGACUGCGAGACCUACAAGUCGAGCAGGGUCGAAAGACGGACUUAGUGAUCCGGUGG